ACCUUGUGUGACAGUCCCCUAAGAAUGGAGAAUUUUCUCAAUUCCUGGCAACCUUCAUGCUUCCAAUCCCACCCAUAUCUCUUGGAAAUGAAAGUUUCUACCCAGGUCCACUUUAUCUUUUCGUCGUAUUCGCUCUCAGUGUCAGACGGUGUUCCCAAUAGGACAUUUAAGCAUGUUGCUAUUGAGAUGGCUAGAUCAGCAGCGUUUUCAACAGCUGCUACAACAGCCUGCAGUAUAUGCUUGUAUGCUCGAACAAUCAUUUCAUGGAUACAAAGGGAUUGCACAUGAGGGAGCUUGUCAGCCAGCUCGACCUAAGAUGAAAGAAGAAAAGAGUGACUACUAAAGAAACGGGCCACUUUGCUUGUCUAAGCAUAUUCCUCCAAUUUGAAGCAAAGGUACCAAAAACUAUAAUUGAAAUGGUUACCACUCUCCCCAAGGAAUGCAUCUGUAAGCCUCUGGUGUGCAUAAAGUCAGUCAGAGUUCUCCCAUCGACGGGUGAGAGUUCAAGAGAUCCAAAGUCUGCCACCUGCAAUGUAUCAAUUCGAAGUUUAUGAGGAGCUGAGGAUUAUUACUAUAGAGGGAAAAAAAGUCCAAGGAACUGACCAGUUUCGGAAGAGCGGUGUCAGUGUAGUAUUUGCGGGACAUCUCAAUCAGCUCUCUUGGUGACUGCAGGACAAGUUCAUGGAGAGAGAGUACACAAGGUAAGAUUCAUAAAAGCCAACUAGGUAAGUAGACGUCGUCUCUUAUUACUAUAUAAUAAUGUUAUCAGCUGGUGAAACAAACAAACCUUGAGAUGAAAACCAGUUUCUGAUUCUUUAAGACGCUGAUAUGCAGCUUCUGUCACUAAUUCUUUCCACAUCUUUUCCAUCUCCUCAUUUUGUUUCUCGAGUUCCUUCUGAUCCUCAGUUUCUGAUUUAUUGUCAUUGUCAACGGUAUUAGCAAGGGCAUCCUUGCCCUGUUCAGACUUGUUAGCUUUCACAUCAAUCUUCUUUUUAAUCUCCUUUAGAAGUCCACCUUGCUUUCCAAGACCCUUAACAGGUGGUUCAGGCUUAGCAUCUUCAGUGUUCUUAGAAUCAGUUUUGUUUGAAGCUUGAUUUUGCAGAUGUUGCACCCAACAAGCUCCUAAUUCCCACCUUAUAGGCUUGGUAUUCCUUGAGGGCUCAGCUUCCAAUUUCUGCAGACUGUCCUCAAAUACUUUCCUCACAAGGGACUUAACCACACGUAUUUGUUCUGAGUCUGCAUUUGGUGAUCUCUGAGCUAUGCUGGAAGGAGUUGACGACUUGUGUAACAGAGUCCUCAAGCUGAAAUGAAUAUUCAGAAAACGAUUGCUAAAUACCAUAUAUUUCCCAAUUCACAUAUAGUAUGCCAAAAUGUCAAUUAUGCCAAGAGAAAUGCAAAUAUGAGAUGCCUUUGUUGCUCGAAACUUUACACAACCAUGAGGAAUUAGUAAGACUAACGCAUAUACAACACAAGAUGAUUUUUACCUAUUUACAUUCAGUGCAUUUGCACCUCCAUCUGAUUGGUCUUCAAUGUCUAUAUCCAGUGGGAGACUGCCCACAUCCAAGUUAAAUUCAGCAGCAACCUUCACAAUAGCUGUGAAACCACAAUGUCUGACAACCACCACACCCAAGGUCGAUGUAUCCUGUAUGAUUGAAUAAAUCUCAGUAACAAAUCCAGCAAGAGGAAACUAAGAAAAUUAGCACAAGCUAUAACAAAAUUACAUGAACCGUCGCACUCUCAUCAGCAGUGAUCCCUUUAAGCAAAUUUCUCUGAGCAAGUUCUUCCUGAGAGAUCUCUAGAACCCGAGUCCCAUCACUCUUUCGGUCUAGCUUGGAACUGGCAUCAGGGUCAUCUCUAGCAGGAAAGAUUAGCGCAUAGGUCAAUAAUGAUGGUGAAGAUUAUGAAGAAACAGAGCAAAGACACAUAAGAAAGUAACAAACCCAUUCUCCAGGGCAGAGAGCGCGGUAGUACUUGGCGAACCUCUCGCAAUCAACAGAGUCCUCACCCUUUGCAGUUGUGCACCUACAAAGAUGGUUUUUGUUUUUUAAACGUUAGAAUAGAUUGAAGAGCCACUAAGUAACUCAAUCAAGCAAGAGUACAUGUUGAAACUAGAAUAAGAGUUCCACCUGUGGAACUCAAUGUAACGGGUGAAGCAGUGUCUUGUCUGGUUUGUUGUAGGGAAGCGGAAAUCAGCAGGAGCAGUUUUCAGAUCAAUCUGACACAAAUAGAAAUAACAAAAACAAGUAAGACACCGAGACACACUUCCUAGUGACUGACAAAGAGGAAAACGAUAACUUCAUUUUUUUCUUUCUCUUCAGCAUAUUCUAUUGCAAUAAGAUAUAUAUUUCUUCUCAAUUAAAAAAACGUCUUCACAAUUCAAAGCUUUCAUCUCUCUUUGCCUUUUGAUUCUUAAAUCUAACUCCCGACCAUAUUGAACACACCACACGCACGCAACCAAACCAAGUAGCUAAGCUAGCUUCCAUCAAAAUAGAAUUACAUACAAAGAAUCUAAACGAUACGUAGUGACCAAAUCAGAUCUUGAAUCGAGGUCGAAUUUUCAAAACCAGAAUUUAGAUAUAUUUUUUUCCACAAUCUCCGGCGGGAAACAAAGCUAAUAUCAUUUUUUUUAUGUUGAAUAAAUAUGAAAAGAAGAACGAUUACCUCAUCCUCCAUGGCUGAUUCUGAAGAGGAACGAUGAGAAGGUUUGGUUGGUUAGGAGAAAGAGGAGACGGAGUCUAUUGAAAAUGAAUGAAGUUUGAAGAUGGCCACCAUUCUCUCCGGUGACGACUUGGAGAAGCCAAAAGGCCGCGUCCAGUGUUGGGCUUCCAUAAAUUAAUGGGCCUAAUUGUUUUUGUUGGUUCAAGUUUUUAACCAUCCGAUGGGUUAAAGUCGGUUUAGUUUAGCCGAUUUCAUUUUGGUUGUUGGACCUCCUCUUCCAGUCAAGAGAGUUGAGCAGAGAGCAUCUCUGACUGCGACUCUGCUUCCUCGUUGAAUCCUCAAACUCCCACAAUACAAUAGAUAUAAUCAGGGUGUUCGCCUUUUAGGAGCCCAUGAGUUAUCGAGUUCACAACACUGAACACUAUUCAGUGUAAAUCAAAACACAUAGCAAAACAAAAGGACAAAAUGACUUUAUUCGGAGGCUCCUCAACGAUUCAACACUUUUUAGUUUUCAGCUAUGGAAACCAAAAAGAAAAAAAAACUGAAAGCAAGAGUAAUGUUGUUAAAGCAUGAGGUACUGAGUCUUGGUCCUGCGCUGCAACACAAAAUAUCCAAAUGUAGAAAUGCUUCAAACCUCAUCCAUGGAGCCAAGUUUCUCUCCAUUCCUUUUAGCCUCAAUGUUAAAACUUCAAUGACAGAAAAAUUGCUUCUUCAAUUUGUGACUUCAAUUUCAUUGUCGCUGUAAUCUCCCCAGCACUUGCCUCCUUGUCCUUUCCCAUUAGAUAUCUCUUGUGCUGUGGUUUUCUCUUCACCUUCUGUCGAGUGUCCAUUUUCAGGUGUUUCUUGUGCAAUGACUUCUUCAUCCUCUGCACCUUUCUUCUCCUUGUUGCUCUCUUCUUCACCUCCACUCUUCUCCUCAGCCAUUUCAGUACCAGGUAAUCCCUCCAAAGCCACUGGUGUAUGCCCAUUCUGAGGCUGUACAGGUAUGUUACACGGAUAUGCACCUUCUGCUACUGGCGACAACGGGUACCCAUUCUGUGUUAUUUCCGUCCCAUUUGGUGAUGCCAAAUAUCCGUUUGGUGACACUGGAUAACCAUUAGAAACCCAUGGUUGACUCGGUAUGAACUCAGCCGCGUGAGGGUUCAUUAUCCUUGGGCCAAUGAAUUGAUUAGCAUCGCCAUUGGACUCAGCGAUAAUGGGGAAGCUUGGUUUGUUGCGAGGAACCCUGUUUCCAGAUCGGUUGUAACCACCACCUGAGAGCCUUGGUCCAUAGGGAACUCGAGCUGUUACAGACUGAUGAGGAGUUGACCUCCGGACAUGGUUUACAGGAAGCAUUGGCGGUAUGUUCAAUGGGGAGGGAAGGAUUCCCACGUGGUCGUUGAAUCCUGGAACUGCUAUCGACCCAAAAAUUGGAAUGGUCGUUGGGGUAUAGGGCGGUGCCGAAGCAGAGAGCUUCUUGCUCAUCUCCUUUUGUGCCUCGCAUGCUUCUUGCUUUUCUCCAUCUGCAACUACUGAUGUCUUUGGGCUUGAGUCUCCAUUGGGCAGAUCUUCCGUUUCACCAUCUACUGCUUUCAGUUCAGUACCAGAGACAUCCUUAUGUUGCUUCACUCCAUUUGAGUCCUCAGCCGUUUGUACACUUUCUGAUUUUCCUUGACUUGCAUCUGAAACAGCUGUCUCUGUUGGAGAUCCUUCUGCUGCUGCCUUUUCAGCCUUGAUAUCCUCUGGUGAACUCAUCGACUCUGAUCCACCAACAGCCACCCCUCCUUGUUCAUUGCUAUCAGCAUUUUUUGCUUCAGUUUCUGUAGUCACAUGCUUAUUCUCACUAACAACAUCCUCACCGUUAACUUUUUCAGGACCAUCUACUGCGACUUUUGCUGCAUCCAAAGUCUCUGGAGCAGUCGUUUCUUCUGGCAACUGCUCCGCAACUAUUUUCACAAUUGUUCCAGGGGGUGCCAGUGCAACUUCCUUAUAGGAAAACAGUUUUCCAGCUUGGGAAGUCACAGGACUCACCAUCAGAGUUGGCUUGUUGAUCUGUUCGGUGCAAGGUGAGCUUACCAGGGCUGAUUUACUGUUAACUGGCUUUUCUACCACUACACUGGAACUGUUUUGCUUUCUGUUCAAACUUGAGCUCUUCAAAAGCUUCUUCGCGUGCUGGGAAGUAGAACCACCAGCAGAAAUUGUAAGCUCAUUUGAAUUAGUCCUUGGGGAUGCGAAGUUAGUGGAUUUUCCUCUGCUUUUUGUUGUCUGCUGGGUCACGUUCAUGAAGUUUGUGUUCAGCUUUGCCAGGCUGGGACGGGUUCUUCGCCCAGAAGGAUGACGAUUUUUUGGGACAGCUUCUUGCCAUCCUUCGUCAGAGUCAUCAUCCACUUGUGCCGUGGACUCUAGCUUAACCAGCGUCAGCUGAUCUUGAGGUUGCAAAUCAAGUUUAUCAACCUUUGUUUCUUCAGGUUUUGCAUCUGAUUUGUUCUCCUUGUCACUUGAGCUCUCCCCAGUGAUACUAGUCGGACUCAGAAUUUCAUCAUCUUUCUGAUUAUCUUCAGACACAGGUCCUGGACUUUGUCCUGGUCUUCCCUUGACCUGAAUAAACAUUUUCGAUCAAAAUAUCUGUCACAACUUAGUUAAUGAGAGCAGUUCAGUAAAAACAUGAAUUAAGUCAGCAGAAAGCAAUUAUAACCUUUAGGCGAGCUUUCCUUUGAGCGUCCCUUGCUUUAAGAUCAGUAUCCGGGGUUAUAUAAUCUAGCAGGUCCGAUACACUGUUAUUGGGAAGAAAGCUUAUGAGUUACAUAAUCCGGACAAGAGUUUACGCAAGAUAUAACUUUAUACUAUUUCUAUCUUUUGGUCCCUAUGUACAGAAUGUAAACGGUGCUAAGAAUAUAUAAAAGGCAAACGUUUUAAUACCUGAGAUGGCCUUUGCUGGAAAUAGAGGCGUCUGGCUUGGGAGUACCAUUUCGUGCAGCUUCUUGCUGUUCCAGAGCUUUAGACUCAAAAUACUCGAGCCACGCAGCCGCAUCCUAAAACAAUUCUGGAGCGUAAGAAACUUUGUAAGUGAAACUAAAUGUAAUUAGUAGCUAAUUACGCACCUGUGUCCGAAGAUCCUCAGGGCCAAGUUUUGCCUGUAGAAUCUGUAGAGUUGUCUGCUCAUGCUGGACGCUCAAGGAGUAUGCUUCCAUCAGAGAAAGAGCAAUAGCAAUGGCAUGGUAGCUUGCAGCAGUCUGAAAAAAAUAUAUAACAGAAGUAGUUCAAUUCUCAAGUGCAUCGCUUAAGCUUCCACAGUAAAAUUUACCAUUUAAAUGCAAGUCCUUGCAGCAAAACCAACCUGGAUAUGAUCAGCUCCAAGUAGUCUCUGGUUACAUUUCAACGCUUCAUGAAGGUAUCUUAAAGCCACAUGGACAUUCCCCAAACCUUCUUCCAUCAUCGCUACAUUAAUAUAAGUGGCAGCAGUAUUUGGAUGUGACGGUCCACAUGUUAGAUGCAGAAGGUACAAUGCACGGUUGACAUAUCUACAACAAUAAUAACAUGUUAGCAGCUCGAAACAACUAAUUUUUAGGCUUUGGCUUUCGGAAACGCAGAGAGCAUACUUUAAAGCUAAUUCUGUGUGCUGGAGACGAUAAUAGAAGACGGCCAGGUCGCCGUAGCUUUUCAUUGUGUCUGGAUGAUCAAGUCCAAGCUCCCUUUCAUUUAUGUCGAGUGCUUUCUGCUGAUAAAUGGUAGCCUGAAAAAUCAAAACUGGUUAGUUGCAUGCAGUAGAGACAUUCUUCUGUACAGGAAGUAAAUGAACUGAGCGAUGACUUGGAGACGAUCCCAAAUUCUUUCGAAGUGAAUACCUGGUUAAAGUCCCCAGUAUGGUAAAGCACAACAGCAAGUAGACUAUAUGCUCCGGCGGUCAUUCUAUGAUAUGGGCCGCACACUGCUACAAGCUUCGUCAAUGCCUAUAGAGUUACCCCAGAAUAUCAACUCACUUAAACCGUUUAAAGUAAAUAAAUACAUUCAAUGAAGAAAGUAUCAGAGACAAGCUGAAGGGGUUAAGAAUGUCAGAGACAACCAAUGCCUAUUGAUUCUUUCAGUGCAUAAUCAUCCUUGCCCGUUAAAACAAAACUCACUUAUUCAUAUUUACAUGGGGUUAAGAAUGCCUACUCAGUAAGUCUUAUGCUAGUUCUAAAUAUAAAAUUGGUUGAUAAGGACAAAAGAUGGGCUUAGAAAAUAAAAAUUGUAUUCCAUUGAUUUCAGUUUGUUCGCAGAUGAAGGAUUAUAUAAUGAGUAGUGGCAGGAGAGGUCAUGCAAAGAAGGGAUCAGUGUAUUCAGACUAGUCAAGAGCUUCAUUACAUAGUUCGUAUAUAACAAGAGGAAUGAGAAAGAGAUCAGUUAUACCUUGGUACCAUAACUGACAGCAUCCUCUAGUUUUCCUUUAUCCAAGGAAGUUUUGGAUGACUCCAACAAAGUACGUCCAUCAGCGGAUGAACAUGCAACAUGCUGCACAGAAAAGCAGUAACGUUUAGUCACUUAAUAGUUUCACUUUUCUAUUAUGGCUUAUUACUGAAAUAAGAUAGAUAAACAAUGGUACCUUAUAUACAGGAACCAUACUGAUAAUAUCCAACUUCUUGAAUGGACAUGAUGUGUCCAUCUCAUAGUCUUUAGGAACAAGCUCCAGUCCAACCUAGUGAAACAACAUAUGAAAAAGAGAAUCUAAGGUUAGAAUGUCACAAUUGGAUGAAAAAAAAAAAACAGAUUGACAGUCCCAAACCUUGUGUGACAGUCCCCUAAGAAUGGAGAAUUUUCUCAAUUCCUGGCAACCUUCAUGCUUCCAAUCCCACCCAUAUCUCUUGGAAAUGAAAGUUUCUACCCAGGUCCACUUUAUCUUUUCGUCGUAUUCGCUCUCAGUGUCAGACGGUGUUCCCAAUAGGACAUUUAAGCAUGUUGCUAUUGAGAUGGCUAGAUCAGCAGCGUUUUCAACAGCUGCUACAACAGCCUGCAGUAUAUGCUUGUAUGCUCGAAC
rnacentral:lncRNA from 1 species